rnacentral:rRNA from 1 species
UACGGAGGGGGCUAGCGUUGUUCGGAAUUACUGGGCGUAAAGCGCACGUAGGCGGACUGGAAAGUCAGGGGUGAAAUCCCGGGGCUCAACCCCGGAACUGCCUUUGAAACUCCCGGUCUUGAGGUCGAGAGAGGUGAGUGGAAUUCCGAGUGUAGAGGUGAAAUUCGUAGAUAUUCGGAGGAACACCAGUGGCGAAGGCGGCUCACUGGCUCGAUACUGACGCUGAGGUGCGAAAGCGUGGGGAGCAAAC